rnacentral:rRNA from 1 species
ACAUGCAAGUCGAGGGGCAUCAGGAACUUUGCUUGCUUUCUUUGCUGGCGACCGGCGCACGGGUGAGUAACACGUAUCCAACCUGCCCUUUACUCGGGGAUAGCCUUUCGAAAGAAAGAUUAAUACCCGAUAGCAUAAUGAUUCCGCAUGGUUUCAUUAUUAAAGGAUUCCGGUAAAGGAUGGGGAUGCGUUCCAUUAGGUUGUUGGUGAGGUAACGGCUCACCAAGCCUUCGAUGGAUAGGGGUUCUGAGAGGAAGGUCCCCCACAUUGGAACUGAGACACGGUCCAAACUCCUACGGGAGGCAGCAGUGUGGAAUAUUGGUCAAUGGGCGCUAGCCUGAACCAGCCAAGUAGCGUGAAGGAUGAAGGCUCUAUGGGUCGUAAACUUCUUUUAUAUAAGAAUAAAGUGCAGUAUGUAUACUGUUUUGUAUGUAUUAUAUGAAUAAGGAUCGGCUAACUCCGUGCCAGCAGCCGCGGUAAUACGGAGGAUCCGAGCGUUAUCCGGAUUUAUUGGGUUUAAAGGGAGCGUAGGUGGACUGGUAAGUCAGUUGUGAAAGUUUGCGGCUCAACCGUAAAAUUGCAGUUGAUACUGUCAGUCUUGAGUACAGUAGAGGUGGGCGGAAUUCGUGGUGUAGCGGUGAAAUGCUUAGAUAUCACGAAGAACUCCGAUUGCGAAGGCAGCUCACUGGACUGCAACUGACACUGAUGCUCGAAAGUGUGGGUAUCAAACAGGAUUAGAUACCCUGGUAGUCCACACAGUAAACGAUGAAUACUCGCUGUUUGCGAUAUACAGUAAGCGGCCAAGCGAAAGCAUUAAGUAUUCCACCUGGGGAGUACGCCGGCAACGGUGAAACUCAAAGGAAUUGACGGGGGCCCGCACAAGCGGAGGAACAUGUGGUUUAAUUCGAUGAUACGCGAGGAACCUUACCCGGGCUUAAAUUGCAGUGGAAUGAUGUGGAAACAUGUCAGUGAGCAAUCACCGCUGUGAAGGUGCUGCAUGGUUGUCGUCAGCUCGUGCCGUGAGGUGUCGGCUUAAGUGCCAUAACGAGCGCAACCCUUAUCUUUAGUUACUAACAGGUCAUGCUGAGGACUCUAGAGAGACUGCCGUCGUAAGAUGUGAGGAAGGUGGGGAUGACGUCAAAUCAGCACGGCCCUUACGUCCGGGGCUACACACGUGUUACAAUGGGGGGUACAGAAGGCAGCUAGCGGGUGACCGUAUGCUAAUCCCAAAAGCCUCUCUCAGUUCGGAUCGAAGUCUGCAACCCGACUUCGUGAAGCUGGAUUCGCUAGUAAUCGCGCAUCAGCCACGGCGCGGUGAAUACGUUCCCGGGCCUUGUACACACCGCCCGUCAAGCCAUGGGAGCCGGGGGUACCUGAAGUACGUAACAGCAAGGAUCGUCCUAGGGUAAAACUGGUGACUGGGGCUA